UGCAGGGAAAUAUAUUGAGAAAACUGGAGGCUAUAUAUAUAUAUAGCCUUCAGUUUUCUCAAUAUAUUUCCCUGCA